GAUGAACGCUAGCGGCAGGCCUAACACAUGCAAGUCGAGGGGCAGCACAGAAACAGCAAUGUUUUGGUGGCGACCGGCGGACGGGUGCGUAACGCGCAUGCAACCUACCUUUAACAGGGGGAUAACGGAGAGAACUUUCCACUAAUACCCCAUAACAUCGAUCAAGGCAUCUUGAUUGGUUGAAAACUCCGGUGGUUAAAGAUGGGCAUGCGUUGUAUUAGGUAGUUGGUGAGGUAAUGGCUCACCAAGCCUACGAUACAUAGGGGACUGAGAGGUUAGCCCCCCACACUGGUACUGAGACACGGUCCAGACUCCUACGGGAGGCAGCAGUGGGGAAUCUUGCACAAUGGGCGAAAGCCUGAUGCAGCGACGCCGCGUGGAGGAUGAAGGUUUUCGGAUUGUAAACUCCUGUUAAGUGGGAAGAAAGAUUCAUACCUAAUACGUAUGGAGGAUGACGGUACCACUAGAGAAAGCACCGGCAAACUUCGUGCCAGCAGCCGCCGUAA
rnacentral:rRNA from 1 species